GGCCAUAUCACGUUGAAACACCGAUUCUUGUACGAUCACCGAAGUUAAGCAAUGUUAAGUCUGGUUAGUAACUAGAUGUGUAACCGCUUGGGAACGCCAGGUCCUGUA